rnacentral:lncRNA from 1 species
UGAAUUCGAGAUCCCCUAUUUUGAUUUUACAAAUUCACCAUAAAUUUUACAAAAAUUAUUAAGAGUCAUACCUUACAUGAAUGGAUUCCUUAUUGAGUCUAUUUUUACGGGAAACAAACGGCAUGGUCAUUGGAAUUCUUUACAGGGAGAAAUUCGGUUCGUAGUGUACAGGGGUCAGAGUAGUCAUACCCUGAAACAUGGAAUAAUUUAACUAAUAAAAUGUAUUAAAUGGCUCAACCAAAAAUUUUUAAAAUUUUAUGGAAGAAAUAUAAAUGAGUCUAAUUUCAGGAAAAAUU